rnacentral:rRNA from 1 species
CGUAGGGCGCAAGCGUUGUCCGGAUUUAUUGGGCGUAAAGAGCUCGUAGGCGGCUUGUCGCGUCUGCCGUGUAAACUCUCGGCUUAACUGGGAGCUUGCGGUGGAUACGGGUGGGCUGGAGGCAGGUAGGGGAGAAUGGAAUUCCCGGUGUAGCGGUGAAAUGCGCAGAUAUCGGGAGGAACACCGGUGGCGAAGGCGGUUCUCUGGGCCUUGCCUGACGCUGAGGAGCGAAAGCGUGGGGAGCGAACAGGAUUAGAUACCCUGGUAGUCCAUGCUGUAAACGUUGGGCGCUAGGUGUGGGGUCUUUCCACGGAUUCCGUGCCGUAGCUAACGCAUUAAGCGCCCCGCCUGGGGAGUACGGCCGCAAGGCUA